UACCCUGAAAAAUUUAUAUAGCAACGGGGUGAGCAUAAAGAGCUCAGCAAGCAUCUAACAUAUCCAUGGCGAUAGGAGAAGUUCAAGCAAGCUUAGUAUCAAGAUACAAAAGUAGAAAUACAAGUGUUCAUUUGAAGUCAUCUCAUUUGAUAUAAAAUCACAAAGGUUUACCUUGUUCAAAACAGGCAUUAGACAUAACAAUAGGAGAAAGGAAAUUGGAGCAUAUCAUUGGCAUAAGGAGCAUAUCGAUGACAUAUGGUAAUUUCAAGGCAUAACAAAGACGUAAAGAGCAUUUUAGAUAUCAAUGGCAUAUGGAAAUAUUUCGGAAGCAUAAGAAGCAUUUCAGAAUAUAUCAAAGAACAAAUAUGAAAUAGAAGCUCAAACGUCGUACUCUAGCAUAGUGCAAGUGAGGAUUAACUCAGUGGUGGCUCCACGCCGUGAUGAGUUCUCGACUCCAUCCACGGGUAGC
rnacentral:lncRNA from 1 species